rnacentral:rRNA from 1 species
GACGAACCUUGCUAACGUUAUUCGGAAUUACUGGGCUUAAAGGGUGCGUAGGCGGUGCAGCAAGUCGGGUGUGAAAUCCCUCAGCUCAACUGAGGAAUGGCGCCCGAAACUGCUGUGCUCGAGGAAGAUAGAGGUACGCGGAACUUAGGGUGGAGCGGUGAAAUGCGUUGAUAUCCUAAGGAACACCGGUGGCGAAAGCGGCGUACUGGGUCUUUCUGACGCUGAGGCUAC